CCUCCAACCGAGAUGAACAUUGUCCCCAAUGUUUCUAUCGAAAAAGACGAGGAAGGAAUGAUAUACCUUAUGGUGAUGUGGUAUUCAAGGCGUGUGAGUGCAUUCACAUGAUUCAAAAACCAUAAGAAACGUGAGAGAGGAAAUAAGAUACAAAAAAUGAUGCUUAUAUAAACUGAGAGAGUUGAGUACAAGAUAUAAGCAUAAGGUACAUACAAUCUCAGAAUAUAAAACAUGUAUCAUAUACAAAAAACAUAUACAAAAUGGAGAUAGAAAUAUCCAAUCAUGGAUGUGGCUCCUGAGGUGGAGGAGGUGAUAUGCCCAGGUGAUGGUGGAUCUGAGAGAGCAUGGCGGAGUGCUGGUCCAGGAUAGUUGUAUGCUGAGCCUGAAUAGCUGUAUGCUGAGCCUGAUGUGUCUGUAUGGUAUCCAUCUGUCGUCUGAUGGCCUGCAUCUCACGGACUAAGGUGGCCUGAGAGGCGCUCAAUGAGUGAAAGGACGACAUGAGAGCUCUGAACUCUGUAGUGGAGACAGUGAUGGAUGGCCCGGCUGAAGACUCAGCAUAGGCUGGAGUAGGAGUGACUGGUGGUGUGGGAGUAUCAGUAGUGCAAGUCACUGGAGCAGGUACUGAAGAAGAAGGCUUUGUGGUAUGUGGGUCCUGCUCUGGUGAUGUCUGUACUGUAGGUGCUGAGGCUGCUGGAGAAUCGGGAGGCGUUGGAGAAGCUGGAGGCGCGGGAGCUAAUGGUCUAGGGAUACCCUGGUC
rnacentral:lncRNA from 1 species